CGUUUGAGAUGUCCAAAACAUACUAAUUAAGGUCCCAUGCAUGCAUAUAUAAAGUCCGUACCCAGGGAGAUGGCCAGAUGGGCGAAAUAUUGUUAAAGAUCCCAUGCAUGCAUAUAUAAGGUCCGUACCCAGGGCUCUCGAGAUAACCUACCAGCAAAUGCUAGUAUGAGAUUAUCAAUAAGCGCGAUACUAUCCCGCAACUUUCUCGCCAAGGCUCCAACUGAACUUCCCUUUUUCUGCGGGAGUUUGCGGACACGUGCAUGCAUCUCUACCUACUAAUAAAGCAGCGAUUGCUUAUGGUCGUACUUCAUCGGCACUUUUACAAAAAAGUCCCUCGGUUUCUAAGAAUUUAAGCCGCAGUCCUAUUUUAAGUGUUUUCUGAAGAUAACGUUUCAUUUUUGCAAACAAAACCCUGCAUUAGUUACAAUUCCAUCCGUGCUCCUUAAUCCUUAUCCAUUGCCAUCCUCCACCUCCCGGCACGUGCUGCCGCUUGCCGCUGGCGUCCACGCGGCAGAACCCAAGAAAGUGGUGAUGCGUCGCGGCGGGCGUCCGCACCGCCCGAGCCCAGGAACGGGGUGAGGCGUCGCGGCGGGCGUUGGAGAGCACAGAGGACAGGAAGUCGCUAAACAUGGCCUUGGCCGGCACAGGGACGAGCUCGCUGGUGCGCUUGAGGCAGGCGAGCCUAGCCCGCAAGUCCUCCUGCUGCUUGGCGAUGCCCUUGGCCUUCCUGCGGGCCUUGUCGUCCUCGGCGCUGGCCUUGGCGGGCCGAGGCGCCGCGGUGCAGGCGGCCGCCGUGCUCUCUUGGGGCAAGGCGCGCGCCACGCGAGGGCGGUGCGACGAAGGAAACAAAAAGAGAGAAAAUAGAAAUCAGGGAUCUUAAAACCUCGCCGGCCCACGCUCACCAAAGACCUGCAGAACCUUCACUCGAGCAGGGCAGAGAGAUGGCGAACGACGGCUUCGCGGCUGAGCUGGGCUGAGGCAGCUGCGUGGCCCACGCGGUGGACGAACUGGCGCUCCUCUCCGUCGUCCUCCCGACGGCAGGUGAGGCAGGAAUGCGGCGGAUUCAGAUAUCACGGCGCAACCUCCCUACUACUCCAGCUCGCGCGUGGCGGUGUGCAUCACGGCCUGAGAUGGAGACCCGGAUGCUGGCCGGGAGGGAAGGCGCAACAGUCGGAGAGCGUGGCCGACGAGCUGCAGCUGGAGGCACUCGGCUUGGAGGCGCGGUCGAGCUGGGGAGGGGAGAGAUCCCAGCGAGCGGGGAGGCGGAGCACGCUUGCGGGUGUAGAGACUAGAGAGAGGGGGCGCCGGGGAAGGGAGAGCUGGCCGACGGCGACGGGGUUCUUGCAAGCGAGAGGAGAGAGGAGAAGGGAAUCGAUGGAGGCAAACGGGGUCUCGGCCACAGGUUGGAGAGGAGCGGCGUGGGGCUUAUCCCCUCGCAUGCGUGUGUGGCCUGGGGCUUAUCCCCUCGCGUGCGUGUGUGUGGCUGUGGUUGAGCCAGGUUGGGCCUUGGCUAGGCUGGGGUUUUA
rnacentral:rRNA from 1 species